rnacentral:lncRNA from 7 species
ACAACAAGGCAGGCAGGGAGGGAGAGGACGGUCGCGGAGAGACAGACGCCGACAGGUCGUGGCGCCGUGUCGCCCGGCCCGUGCCGCUACAGGGCGCGCCGCACGAUACGCGGCCGGGCACGCCGAUGGCGACGUGUGCGUGCGCCGUGCACGUACCGCCCCGCCGGGACCGCGUAUACUACUGGUAUGGUACCGGGCCGGGGCAGGCACCGCAGCACAUACGCGCGCCCCCGGUCGUUGUCGCCGUAGGCAGGCCGUAGUCAUGGCGGAUACGUACGUACGUACGCACGCUCCGGCAGGUAUGACCUGACCUGACCUGAUCUCACUUCCCUGGCCUGAUGAGAUGGCGACGAUCCGAUCGCCGCCCCCGGGCCCACCUCUCCGUCAGAGGACAAGGGAGCGCGAGGACGGCCCACAGCCGCUACGCUGCGUGGCGGCCUGUGCUGUGCAGGCAGGCAGGCAGGCUCACACAGAGAGCCACGCGGAGGCCCGGACACUAGGACAUGACAGGAGCGUACCGAUCGAGUACACACCACCAGCACCACCACCAGAAAACCACGUGGUGUCUAGCUCCUCCUCUCCGUCAAGCUCCAUCGACGAUGAUCGAUCGCC